UAUUUUAUUGAGUAAGUUGAAUUUGAAAUAUACUUAAAGAUGCAAAGUAAUAUUGAUUAACGAUCUGAGAAAAUGUGAUAUUAAAGUGUACUAGCAAUGAAAAUGUAUGUAUGUAUAUACAUAUAUGUUCUCGUUUAACAUAAUGACAUUUCAUCAAAAUGUUAAUUACGCUGAUUAAUUAAUUAAAUUAUAAUUAUGUUAUAUUUUGUAUAAUGUUGAUUCGUUUCAUUAAGUUGUUUAAUAUUGUGACAUUAAGUACACAUAAACCGGCACAGUAUAUUUUUUUUGCAAGACUCAACAGUUCUUUGAAGGUUAUGAAAAUCCUUAAUGUGGCGGAAAAAAAUGAUGCUGCCAAAAACAUUGCGAGCCAUUUAUCUCGUGGCACUAGUAAGCGGAGAGAAGGAUUGUCUCCGUACAAUAAGAUUUAUGAAUUCAAGUCCUAUUUAUGGAAUCAAAAUUGCGAUAUGAUUAUGACCUCUGUGUCUGGUCAUUUAUUAAACAAUGAAUUUGUAGGAGCAUAUCGUAAAUGGCAAGCUUGUCAUCCAUUAAGUUUAUUCGAUGCACCUGUAGUAAAACAAUGUUCAGAAGAAAGCUAUAUUAAGAUUAAACAAACUUUAGAAAGAGAAGUAAAAAAAUGUGGUGCAUUAAUUAUUUGGACAGAUUGUGAUCGUGAAGGAGAAAAUAUUGGAUUUGAAAUUAUUCAAGUCUGCUUAGCAGUUAAACCCAACAUUCGUGUAUAUAGGGCAAAAUUUUCAGAAAUUACACAGACAUCUGUAGAUAGAGCUCUUCAAAAUCUGUGUGAACCAGACAAAGCAGUUAGUGAUGCUGUUGAUGUACGAAGUGAACUAGAUUUAAGGAUAGGUGCUGCAUUUACAAGAUUUCAAACAAUGAGACUCCAAAAAGUAUUUCCCACAUCUCUUGCUGACAUGCUCAUCAGUUAUGGUAGUUGUCAAUUUCCUACACUAGGAUUUGUAGUAGAACGAUUUCUAGCUAUAGAAAGAUUUAAGCCAGAACCAUAUUGGAAAAUAAGAGUAAUGGAUGUUCGUGAUCAACUCUCUGUGGAGUUUAGGUGGAUAAGAGGAAGGUUAUUUGAAAAAUUGCCUUGUGAGGUUCUGUUAGAUACAUGCUUAGAACAGCCUGAUGCCAAAGUACAGAAAAUUACAAGCAAACCUAAGAGUAAAUGGAGGCCUCUACCUUUGGACACAGUUGAAUUGGAAAAACAAGGUUCUCGUAAACUUCAUUUAAGCGCAAAGGAAACUAUGAAAAUUGCUGAAAAAUUGUAUACUCAAGGUCUCAUCAGUUAUCCGCGCACAGAGACAAAUAUAUUUCCUAAAGAAUUAAAUCUUGUUCCUUUGGUAAAUCAGCAAGUAAAUGAUCCAGCAUGGGGUAAUUUUGCACAACAAUUAUUAACAGCUGGGUUGAGUCCUAGACAAGGAAAGAAAAGUGAUCAAGCACAUCCUCCUAUACAUCCAAUAAAAUAUGCCGAUAAUUUACAAGGUAAUGAUGCUAAAGUUUAUGAAUUUGUGGUUCGACACUUUUUGGCCUGUGUUUCAAAUAAUGCAUUAGGACAAGAAACUACAGUAGAGAUUGAUAUUGCUGGUGAGAAAUUUAUUGCUAACGGGUUACAAAUCAUUGAAAGAAAUUACUUAAAUGUAUAUAUAUAUGAAAAAUGGAGCGACAAAGCAAUUCAUGUAUAUCAAGAAAGACAGGUUUUUAAACCAACUAGUAUAGAUAUGAUACAAGAGGAAACAUCACCACCGCAAUUAUUAACUGAAGCAGAUUUGAUUAGUUUGAUGGAUAAAUUUGGUAUUGGUACUGAUGCCACACACGCAGAACAUAUUGAUACAAUAAAGUCACGUCAAUAUGUAGGGUUAACAGAUGGAAAGCAUUUAAUGCCUGGGAAACUUGGGAUUGGACUAGUUAUGGGUUACGAUAAUAUGGGAUUUAAAAUGUCAAAACCAAACUUAAGAGCAGAGUUAGAAAGAGAUCUUAAAUUGAUAUGCGAUCGACAAAAAGAUCCAAAAGAAGUAUUACAAACUCAAAUAAAUAAAUAUCGCGACGUGUUUAAAAUGACAUUGGAACGUGCCAAUUUAAUCGAUAAUGCUUUAGCGGAUUAUCUCAAUGAACGACCUAUUGAAACAGGAGAAAUACAAGUUAGUAAUCCACCUGAAGAAAUUCCUGUCUUCAAAUGUCCGAAGUGCAAAUCAAAUAUGGUACUUAAAGACAGAAGGCAAGGCCCAGGAAAGUAUAUUGGUUGUAUGUGCUUUCCAACAUGUAAUAAUGCAAUCUGGUUUCCUCCAACUGUUGAAUCUGUUGAAGUUUUGAAUGAAGUUUGUUCGCAUUGUCCAGGAAAUAUGCAUAAAUUGCAAUUGAAAUUAUCUAGAAAUGCUUUUCCAAUUUAUGGUACUACUUAUACAACCUGCAUAGGUGGAUGCGAUCCUUCGUUUAACGAAUUGUUAAAUAUAAAGGACGAAAGUGUUAAAAUUAUUAAUCGAAUAAACGACACCGGUUAUGACAGUAUGUUCGAUGGAUCAAGAUCAACAAUCCUUUCAAAUCCACCUCCAGUACGAAACAAUGAAACCCGUCAACCUCGAGUUAAAAAUAGGUCAAAUUUACCUAAAAAUAACACAUCUGUAGAACUCGUUCGAAAUCAGAAUAGUAAUCGUAAUAACACAAGUAGAUCAAGAAAUAAUAAUACAAAUACUAAAAAACGAAAUACUCGAACGAUUGACGAUACAUGGAUUGAUACUAAUACUUUUACUUCUUCAAACACUGAUUCAAGAUUACCCAGUAUAGAAGACAGUAAAACAUGGGGUGCUAUUGAUAAUGAUGCUGUUAUCAUGUGUAAAUGUAAUGAAAACGCAAUUCAGUUAACAGUAAGAAAAGAAGGACCGAAUCAAGGAAGACUAUUUUAUAAAUGUGCCAAACCUCAAGGCACAGGUUGCGAUUUCUUUCUUUGGGCGUCAGAUAAUGGGCAGGAAAUGCAAAACAAUAGAAAUAGAAAUCCAAAUCAUACACCAAAUGUUGCAAGUACAAGUAACUGGCCAAGCACUUCUGUUUCUACUUCUAGUACAUGGGGACGCGCUGAAACAUCUACAUCGUUGACUAAUGUGAAUUGUCACUGCAAUCAAUUAGCAAAAGAACGGACUGUUGUGAAGGAUGGUCCUAAUAAAGGACGCUUAUUUUAUUCGUGUCCAAAACCUAUGAAUGAGUCGUGCAAGUUCUUUCAAUGGGCAGAUGAGAAUGUUUCAAAUCAUAAUGAAACAUUCAGGGGCGGAAAUAGCAAUACAUCUAGAGAAGCAGGAAACAGAAAACAUGCAAAUAUACAAAGAAAGCCUCGGGCUACGGGUGGUAAGAGAAAAUGCGGAAUUUGUGGGAUAGAAGGACAUACGAGAAAAAAUUGUCCAGAAAAUGUAAUGGAUUAAUGACAGGAGAAACGGAUUGUAUCCGUAAAAUUAUAAAUACUAAAGAUGGUGAUAAAAACACAAUUAAUUACUUUUAGUACUUUUGUAUGAUAAAUUAAUAUCAGUUUCAAAGUUUACUAUGUGCCUUACAUCAAUAUUAUAAUAUGUACAAGUCGUGUUUACGUGCGUUACAAUUUACUUUCACAACGCAGUGAUACAUAUUUAAUAAAUAAUAGUAGAUACAAUCCUUGAGCUGAUCUGUUUACAAACAACAUGGGCAGUGAAACGUAUAGCCAUCUAGCAGUGAACGAACCAAACUACUCUUGUAACCACUUGUAACUAAUUAAUAAGUUUCGAGAAAACUACUUGUUUUUAAUAGUUAUUACUACUAUCUUGCAUUUUUGUUUGACGUCUUUAUUUAAUAUUAAUACACUUUUGAUUGUAAAUUCAAUCAGCAUCGUGAAAAAGGUUAAGUUAAUUUCGCGUUUUUUUUCAUUCUUUAUUCGAAGGCAACUAGUGCUAAUUUUACUUAUUAUCAAAAGAAGAAAGAAGAAAGAAAUAAUUAUAUUAUUAUUAUUAUUAUUAAAAAUGUAUUUAUUUUGUUAAAUAAAUUCGUUGUUUCAAUUCGUAAA